UACGUAGGGCGCAAGCGUUGUCCGGAAUUAUUGGGCGUAAAGAGCUCGUAGGCGGUCUGUUGCGUCUGCCGUGAAAACCCGAGGCUUAACCUCGGGCCUGCGGUGGAUACGGGCAGACUAGAGGUAGGUAGGGGAGAAUGGAAUUCCCGGUGUAGCGGUGAAAUGCGCAGAUAUCGGGAGGAACACCGGUGGCGAAGGCGGAUCUCUGGGCCUUACCUGACGCUGAGGAGCGAAAGCGUGGGGAGCGAACAGG
rnacentral:rRNA from 1 species